rnacentral:misc_RNA from 1 species
UGAAAUGCGAUAAUUAAUGUGAAUUGCAUUAUCUCGUGAAUCAUCGAGUCUUCGAACGCAUCUUGCACUUUUCAGGUCUCCUGGAAAGUAUACUUGUUUGAGUAUCAUAAACAUCUCUCAAAGAAACUUUUCUUUGGAAAUGAGACGUCAGAGGGCCUGUCUCUUUGUGUCUUUUAAUAUAUAUGCGGCGCGAUUUCACUCUUGUAGUGAAUGCCCAGUUACCAAAUGUGAGAUAAAUAUCGCACAAAGAGGUGUUGGGUCAAGCACUGCUACACUCAGUAUCUUUUGAUACAACCUUGAGUCAUUGAUCUCAAAUCAAGUAAGAUUACCCGCUGAACUUAA